rnacentral:rRNA from 1 species
UGCUUAAUACAUGCAAGUCGAGCGGGGUUACUGCGACAGAUCCCUUCGGGGUGACGUUGCUUUAACCUAGCGGCGGACGGGUGAGUAACGCGUGGGUAACCUACCCUAAAGCUCGGGAUAACAGUGGGAAACCGCUGCUAAUACCGGAUGACUUUAACCUAUGGCAUCAUGGGUUAAAGAAAGAUUUAUCGCUUUAGGAUGGGCCCGCGUCCCAUUAGCUAGUUGGUGAGGUAACGGCUCACCAAGGCGACGAUGGGUAGCCGGCCUGAGAGGGUGUACGGCCACACUGGGACUGAGACACGGCCCAGACUCCUACGGGAGGCAGCAGUAGGGAAUAUUGCGCAAUGGACGGAAGUCUGACGCAGCGACGCCGCGUGAGCGAUGAAGGCCUUCGGGUCGUAAAGCUCUGUCCUUGGGGAAGAAGGUCUUCGGACUUGACGGUACCCAAGAAGAAAGCCCCGGCUAACUACGUGCCAGCAGCCGCGGUAAUACGUAGGGGGCGAGCGUUGUCCGGAAUUACUGGGCGUAAAGGGUGCGUAGGCGGCCCUUUAAGUCAGAUGUGAAAGGCCACGGCUUAACCG